GGAACAUCUGCAAACACAGACAUUUAUGGGGGAGAUGGAGAGAGGAGAGAUUAAGGAGAAAAAGGUAAUUCCGGAGACCUAAGUGGGGAGAGAUGAGCAGAGGAAGGGUCAGAUGAUGAUGCUGGAACCCUCUGAGGAAGAAUGGGGGAAAGAAGCCAGAGAGAAAAGACUUUACUGCUGAAUUGUCCAUGGGGCCCAUUGAGACUCAAAGCUAAGGUGGGAAGGUCUUCUAUCUGAUCAGGACCCAGGAGAGAAAGUGCCUACCACUGGGAGGCCCGGCGCCGGCAGAUGGCUUUGGACCGAAGGAGAUGGCUGAUGGCCCAGCAGCAGCAGGAGCUGCAGCAGAAAGAACAGGAACUGAAGAAUCACCAGGAGGAAGAACAACAAUCGGAGGAAAAACUCCAGCCACAUAAGAAGUUAAAUGUGCCGCAACCACCAGUGGCGAAAUUGUGGACAUCACAGGAGCAACCACAGCCAUCACAGCAGCAGCCAUCAGUGCAGCCACCAUCACAGCCACCACCACAGCCAUCAACAUUGCCACAGGCACAGGUGUGGCCAGGGCCACAGCCACCACAACCACAGCCACCACCUCAGCCAACACAACCAAGUGCUCAAGCCCGUUGUACUCAGCACACCUCCAAAUGCAAUCUCCAGGAUUCCCAAAGGCCAGGUCACCAGCCUACUUCAGCGGGGAUCUACUAAGCUGGAGGGCAAUCUCUGUAUCAACAACAGAUUCCAGGGUCUCAUGAACCCAUGCCAAUCUAGCCCCAUCAGAAACACUGGGUAUUCACAACUCAAGUCUACCAAUUACAUACAGCAGUGGUGAUCCAGAGAUUGAACCCAGGACCCCAUGGCCAUCCCCAAAAUGCAGAUGAGCAACCACAUCUUCUCAGCAUCCAGCAAUAUCUCCACUCCAAAAGCCACCCACUCUAGAAGAGGAGGCUGCCAGGAAUAAAAUGUAAUUUUUUUCCUGGGAAGAA
rnacentral:lncRNA from 1 species